GGUCAAUUUUGUGAACAUCUUGUUACGAAAUGUUUUCACUCUUUUUGACAUCCAUUUAUUUGCAUAUGAUAGCAUGUUCGGAUCUAAAUAUUAGCGGAAUUUGUCCAGCCAUAGUUGGCAAAAACACAUCCCAGAAAGUUGGCAUUUAUUUGAACUGUUGUCCCAACUUCUACAUUGAGAAUAAUAUUUGCACCCCAUGUCCAGCUGGAAGGUAUGGCAAGAAAUGUAAAGAAAAAUGUGUAUCAAAUUACUACGGUAGCCUGUGUAAACAAAUGUGUAAUUGUUCUUUGAACGAGAUAUGCAAUAAUGUGUACGGCUGCAUAUGUAAAGACAGCAGUAACUGUUCAGAUCGUGAGUACAUGUAUAAAUCCAAGACAGAUAUGUUUAAUGGUGACCACGAUACUUUGCCAACAACAAUGAAUACAUGGACAACAGAAGGAUCACUUCCAU